GACGAACGCUGGCGGCGUGCUUAACACAUGCAAGUCGAACGCUGAAGCUCAGCUUGCUGGGUGGAUGAGUGGCGAACGGGUGAGUAACACGUGAGUAACCUGCCCUCUUCUUUGGGAUAAUGCCCGGAAACGGGUGCUAAUACUGGAUAUUCACUGAUUCUCGCAUGGGGGUUGGUGGAAAGGUUUUUUCUGGUGGGGGAUGGGCUCGCGGCCUAUCAGCUUGUUGGUGGGGUGAUGGCCUACCAAGGCUUUGACGGGUAGCCGGCCUGAGAGGGUGACCGGUCAGAUUGGGACUGAGAUACGGCCCAGACUCCUACGGGAGGCAGCAGUGGGGAAUAUUGCACAAUGGGCGAAAGCCUGAUGCAGCGACGCCGCGUGAGGGAUGGAGGCCUUCGGGUUGAAAACCUCUUUCGCUCAUGGUCAAGCCGCAGCUUUGGGUUGUGGUGAGGGUAGUGGGUAAAGAAGCGCCGGCUAACUACGUG
rnacentral:rRNA from 1 species